rnacentral:rRNA from 1 species
GACCAGACUCCUACGGGAGGCAGCAGUGGGGAAUAUUGCACAAUGGGGGGAACCCUGAUGCAGCGACGCCGCGUGAGCGAUGAAGUAUUUCGGUAUGUAAAGCUCUAUCAGCAGGGAAGAAAAUGACGGUACCUGACUAAGAAGCCCCGGCUAACUACGUGCCAGCAGCCGCGGUAAUACGUAGGGGGCAAGCGUUAUCCGGAUUUACUGGGUGUAAAGGGGGCGCAGACGGCGAUGCAAGCCAGGAGUGAAAGCCCGGGGCCCAACCCCGGGACUGCUCUUGGAACUGCGUGGCUGGAGUGCAGGAGGGGCAGGCGGAAUUCCUGGUGUAGCGGUGAAAUGCGUAGAUAUCAGGAGGAACACCGGUGGCGAAGGCGACUUUCUGGACGAUAACUGACGUUGAGGCACGAAAGUGUGGGGAGCAAACAGGAUUAGAUACCCGGGUA